rnacentral:rRNA from 1 species
ACUACCAGGUAUUCUAGCAAACGGGAUUGUGAUUGACUUGCUGUCUCUUCUUAUAUUUUCAGGUUUAUGUUUCUUCAUAUACCCUAAUGUAUGUUUAUAGAAUGUAAUCAAUAGGCCUUGUGCCUAUAAAACUAUAUAACUUUCAGCAACGGAUCUCUCCGGCUCUCGUUCGAUGAAGAACGCAGCGAAAUGCGAUAAGUAAUGUGAAUUGCAGAAUUCAGUGAAUCAUCGAAUCUUUGAACGCACCUUGCGCUCCUUGGUAUUCCGAGGAGCAUGCCUGUUUGAGUGUCAUUAAUAUAUAUCAACCUGUCUGGUUGGAUGUGGGUUUGCUGGCCUUUUUGGGGUCAGCUCUCCUUAAAUGCAUUAGCGGACAAUAUUUUGUGAACUGUUCAUUGGUGUGAUAAUUAUCUAUGCUAUUCAAUGUGAAGCAAGGUUCAUACCUACUAACAGUCUAUUGACUUGGAGAAUUUAUUUUUAUUAAUGUGACCUCAAAUCAGGAAGGACUACCCGCUGAACUUAAGCAUAUCAAUAAGCGGAGGAAAAGAAACUAACAAGGAUUCCCCUAGUAACAGCGAGUGAAGCGGGAAAAGCUCAAAUUUAAAAUCUGGCAGUCUUUGGCUGUCCGAGUUGUAAUCUAGAGAAGUGUUAUCCGCGCCGGACCGUGUACAAGUCUCCUCCGAAUGGAGCGUCAUAGAGGGUGAGAAUCCCGUCUUUGACACGGACUGCCAGGGCCUUGUGAUGCGCUCUCAAAGAGUCGAGUUGUUUGGGAAUGGGGCUCAAAAUGGGUGGUAAAUUCCAUCUAAAGCUAAAUAUUGGCGAGAGACCGAUAGCGAACAAGUAUGUGAGGGAAAGAUGAAAAGAACUUUGGAAAGAGAGUUAAACAGUACGUGAAAUUUGCUGAUAAGGGAAACCAGCUUGAACUCAGUCGCUGAAACCAGU